GGAGACAAUGGGUCUAUGGGGUCUAUGGGGACAUUGGAGUCAAUGGGGUCAUAGGGGGUCAUUGGGUUCAAUAUGGUCACUUGGGUCAGUAGGGGUCACUGGGGUCAAUGGGGGUCAUUGAGGACAUUGGUGUCAGUGAAGUCAUUGGGAUCAAUGGGGUCAAUGGAGUGAAUGGGGUUAAUGGGGUCAGUGGGGGUUAUUGGAGACAAUUGGGUCAUUGGGGUUAUUGGGGUCAUUGAGGUCAAUGGGGGACAUGUGGGAUUAAUGGGGUCUGUGGUGUCAAUGGGGUUACUGAGGUCAAUGGGGUCAUGUGGGGUUAAUGGGGUCAGUGGGGUAAAUGUGUUGUUGGGGUCAUAUGGGGUCAUGGGUAUCAUUAGAAACAUGGGCAUUGGUGGGGUCAAUGGGGUCACUGGGGUCCUUGGGGUCAUUGGGUACAUGUGGGAUCAUUUAGAUCAUUGGGGACAGGGGGGUUAUGGGAUUCAUGUGAGGUCACUGGGGUCACUGGGUCAAAGGCGUCAGUGGGGUCAGUGGGGUCAAUGGGGUCAUGUGGGGUUAUUGGGGUCAGUGGGGUAAAUGUGUUGUUGGGGUCAUAUGUGGUCAUGGGUAUCA
rnacentral:lncRNA from 7 species